UCUCACACUGUGAGCUGCUCCACUCAGGCUUGUUUUCAGCCCUUGCAGGUGCCUGAAUUUAAUUUAUUGCUGGGGAUGAUGGCUACAGACUAGUGCCUCCCUAUGCAGGAGGCAAAGCAAAUAAAAUUUCCUUAGGGCACAUUGAUCUGUGUUGUGAGCCAGCUGAGAGAGAGCGAGAGGUGAACAAACCUGCAGUUGCCAUGGACCAUCCAGGAGAGUGCCACAGAAUCCAGGGACCUUGCCACAGAAUUGAGCACCUGCCUAUUGUAGAGUACUGGAAAAGGAGACUCAACUGAAAGACAAUAUCUCUGCAUUAGGUACUGAAUCACAG